AACUAUAACGGUCCUAAGGUAGCGAAAUUCCUUGUCAGGUAAGUUCUGACCCGCACGAAAGGUGUAACGAUUUGGGCGCUGUCUCGGCAGCAGACUCGGUGAAAUCUUAGUACCUGUGAAAAUGCAGGUUACCCGCAACUAGACGGAAAGACCCCAUGGAGCUUUACUGCAGCCUGAUAUUGAAUUCUGGUCAUACAUGUACAGGAUAGGUGGGAGACAAAGAGACGUGCACGCCAGUGUACGAGGAGUCGGCGUUGGGAUACCACUCUUGUGUGACCGGGGUUCUAACCUGGUAUCGAGAACAGGUACGGGGAGAGUGUCAGGUGGGCAGUUUGACUGGGGCGGUCGCCUCCCAAAGAGUAACGGAGGCGCCCAAAGGUACGCUCAGAUUGGAUGGAAACCAAUCGUCGAGUGCAAUUGCAGAAGCGUGCUUGACUGUGAGACAGACAAGUCGAACAGGGACGAAAGUCGGGAAUAGUGAUCCGGCGGUGCCGAAUGGAAGGGCCGUCGCUCAACGGAUAAAAGCUACCCUGGGGAUAACAGGCUGAUCUCGCCCAAGAGUUCACAUCGACGGCGAGGUUUGGCACCUCGAUGUCGGCUCAUCGCAUCCUGGAGCUGGAUUCGGUUCCAAGGGUUGGGCUGUCCGCCCAUUAAAGCGGUACGCGAGCUGGGUUCAGAACGUCGUGAGACAGUUCGGUCCCUAUCUGUUGUGGGCGAAGGAGAUCUGCGGAGAGCUGUCCUCAGUACGAGAGGACCGGGAUGGACCUACCGCUGGUGCACCGGUUGUUCCGCCAGGGGCAUAGCCGGGUAGCUAAGUAGGGAAAGGAUAAGCGCUGAAAGCAUCUAAGCACGAAGCCUACUCCAAGAUGAGAUCUCCCAUUCGCAAGAAGUAAGACCCCUUAAAGACGAUAAGGUAGAUAGGCCAGGGAUGGAAGUGCAGUGAUGUACGGAGUUGACUGGUACUAAUCGGUCGAGGACUUAAUCAG
rnacentral:rRNA from 1 species